UACCAGCACCCCGAGUGGUCGGGACGAUUAUUGGGCCUAAAGCAUCCGUAGCCGGUCCUACAAGUCUUCCGUUAAAUCCACCUGCUUAACAGAUGGGCUGCGGAAGAUACUAUAGGGCUAGGAGGCGGGAGAGGCAAGCGGUACUCAGUGGGUAGGGGUAAAAUCCUCUGAUCCAUUGAAGACCACCGGUGGCGAAGGCGGCUCUCUGGACGGUGACUGACGCUGAGACGCGAAAGCGUGGGGAGCAAACAGG
rnacentral:rRNA from 1 species